rnacentral:rRNA from 1 species
UACGUAGGGUGCAAGCGUUGUCCGGAAUUAUUGGGCGUAAAGAGCUCGUAGGCGGUUUGUCGCGUCUGCUGUGAAAACCCGAGGCUCAACCUCGGGCCUGCAGUGGGUACGAGCAGACUAGAGUGCGGUAGGGGAGAUUGGAAUUCCUGGUGUAGCGGUGGAAUGCGCAGAUAUCAGGAGGAACACCGAUGGCGAAGGCAGAUCUCUGGGCCGUAACUGACGCUGAGGAGCGAAAGCGUGGGGAGCAAACAGG